UCUCUCCCAGAGCUGGUUGUUAAACAUUUACCAGCUCACCAGGUCCUCCUUGACUUGAAAUCUAUAAUUUGUGUUUGGUCCUUGAUCUUCUCCCAGUGCAGUCCAGGUGUAAGUAGCUUGGUACCUGAUUUGGGCACUUGAGAGGAAGAAGAGGACUGAGAGCACUGCAGAUUAGGGCUGGCCUCCUGUACCAGACUGGAUAAGGCUCCUAAUCUCCUUGUGAUCCACUAUAAACUGGUCCCAUUCCAGAACAAUCCAGCAUGCUCCACUGAGCCACUUAGAAGACUCACAUAAGUACGGUUAAGACUAUUUUAUUCCAUAUUUUAGACCUUUUAAAAAUCCAAAUGAAUUGUUACUCUUUUGUUUUGCUUUUAAUUGUAAAGUAUUCCUUUGUAGUUUGAAUGGUAUAGCACUAAAUCUAUAUAACUCA